rnacentral:rRNA from 1 species
GAUGAACGCUGGCUACAGGCUUAACACAUGCAAGUCGAGGGGAAACGACGGGGAAGCUUGCUUCCCCGGGCGUCGACCGGCGCACGGGUGAGUAACGCGUAUCCAACCUGCCUCUGACUGAGGGAUAACCCGUCGAAAGUCGGCCUAAUACCUCAUGGCAUCGUCUGCGGGCAUCCAACGACGAUUAAAGAUUUCAUCGGUCAGGGAUGGGGAUGCGUCUGAUUAGCUUGUUGGCGGGGUAACGGCCCACCAAGGCUACGAUCAGUAGGGGUUCUGAGAGGAAGGUCCCCCACAUUGGAACUGGGACACGGUCCAAACUCCUACGGGAGGCAGCAGUGAGGAAUAUUGGUCAGUGGGCGGGAGCCUGAACCAGCCAAGUAGCGUGCAGGAUGACGGCCCUAUGGGUUGUAAACUGCUUUUAUGCGGGGAUAAAGUGAGGGACGUGUCCUUCAUUGCAGGUACCGCAUGAAUAAGGACCGGCUAAUUCCGUG